GAGGGAUGGCUGAGCGGUUGAAAGCAACGGUCUUGAAAACCGUCAAGGGGGUAACUCCUUCCAGGGUUCGAAUCCCUGUCCCUC
rnacentral:tRNA from 1 species